CCAGCUACUUGGGAGGCUGAGGCAUGAGAAUUGCUUGAACCCAGGAGGCGGAGGUUGCAGGGAGCUGAGGUUGUGCCACUGCACUCCAGCCUCGGUGACAGAGUGAGACUCCGUCUCAAAAAAAGAAACAAACAAACAAAAAAAACCCUAAUUAUGUUAAAUUAAAAAUGUUUGUAUUUCCUUUCCAUCCACUACCUGAGUCUAGUAGAGGAGAUAGAAGGUCCUUAAUCCCUGCUUUCAGUCUCCCUAUAAACUAUGUGAAACUUUAUAAACUUCUAUUAACACAACAUCUAGCACUCAGGAAUCCUUACCUGCUGAUCUCCUUAUAAGAGGUUUUCAUGAAGCCAGUACUUGUAGGAUUAAAUGUAAGGAAUUCUCUAUAAUUUCUAAGAUCUCUUCAUUUUCCUCCGCUUUUAUUAUGGGUUUUUUUUUUUUGUUUUUUUUUUUGUUUGUUUGUUUGUUUGUUUUUUUGAGACGGAGUUUCGCUCUUAUUGCCCAGGCUGGAGUGCAAAGGUGCGAUCUCGGCUCACUGCAACCUCCGCCUCCCAGGUUCAAGCGAUUCUCCUGUGUCAGCCUCCAGAGUAGCUGGGAUUACAGGCCUGUGCCACCAUGUCCGGCUAAUUUUUUGUAUUUUUAGUAGAGAUGGAGCUUCACCGUGUUAGCCAGGAUGGUCUCAAUCUUCUGACCUCAGGUGAUCUGCCCUCCUCGGCCUACCAAAGUGCUGGGAUUACAGGUCUGUGAGCCACUGCGUCCGGCCCGAUUAUGGCUCUUUAAGAAAAAAACUUCCCACACUGAAACCUCAAAUACUGAUCACAGGAUCCACCUGUGUUACCCAGCUGUUCUAGCAGCAAAAGUCUGAAAACGACCCCUCACUUUAAUCAGGCAGGCAGGCAGGCAUUCCACAUGUACACCUGAAACCACACCAGACUAUUUCUGCAUAUUAUAAGUCACGAGAGAAAACCAGCUAGACCAAUGAAGCAGCUUCUUCUACGAUUAGAUGCUUGUGUUGGGGGUGCGGGAUUGGGGGAGAUAUGUUCUAGAAGCCACUGCCAG
rnacentral:lncRNA from 1 species